AUUGAACGCUGGCGGCAGGCCUAACACAUGCAAGUCGAGCGGCAGCGGGAAAGUAGCUUGCUACUUUUGCCGGCGAGCGGCGGACGGGUGAGUAAUGCCUGGGAAAUUGCCCAGUCGAGGGGGAUAACAGUUGGAAGCGACUGCUAAUACCGCAUACGCCCCACGGGGGAAAGCAGGGGACCUUCGGGCCUUGCACGAUUGGAUAUGCCCGGGUGGGAUUAGCUAGUUGGUGAGGUAAUGGCUCACCAAGGCGACGAUCCCUAGCUGGUCUGGGAAGAUCGUAAGCCACACUGGAACUAAGACAAGAUCCAGACUCCUACGGGAGGCAGCAGUGGGGAAUAUUGCACAAUGGGGCAAACCCUGAUGCAGCCAUGCCGCGGGUGUGAAGAAGGCCUUCGGGUUGUAAAGCACUUGCAGCGAGGAGGAAAGGUUGAUGCCUAAUACGUAUCAACUGUGACGUUACGCGCAGAAGAAGCACCGGCUAACUCCGUGCCAGCAGCCGCGGUAACAC
rnacentral:rRNA from 1 species